GGAACUCGCGCUUGAGCGCGAGUGCGGAGGGCGUCUAGGGCUGAGGCGAGGAGGCGCGGGCAGAGCCUGGGAAGCGGGGCGGAACCUGGAGGGUCAUUUCACUUCCAAGGAGCCGUGGUGCUAACUUUGCUUCUUUAAGUCAGACUGCAUUUGUUACCUCCUACAUCCACAGCAUUCUACCUGGAUAAGAUCAAUAAAACCUAACACACAGGAAGAUCCAUCAGCAGGCAGUGGAUAUAGCAUCUGACCAAUGUACCCUGCACUCCAGAAAGAGCUAAUAGACAGGAGAAGCUGGUCACAUCCUGAGGUGUCUGGAGACAUGGCUCAGAGGUUGCCUUGCUCGUGGUGUUUCAUCACAGCAACAGUAAAGUAACUAAGACAACCAGAUCCCACGAAGCAGUAUUUGCUUGGUCCUCUCAUGCUUCCCCUCAGCUGGCCUCACAUCGGGACUUCAGAGUCUUCUGAGGAGUCAUCUGCAAACGUAAGUUCAUCUGGUGAUGGGCUCCCCAAGGGUAGCGUACUGCACUGAGACCAGAGGAUCCCAUUUUUGGUGCGUUUGUCCUCUGGUAAGACAUCGUCCUUUCCAGGUGUGACUGUAGCAAAAGGAGUGGAGGCCACAUCCUCCCAUUCUUCAUUGCCCCCAUUCAAGAUGUAUCUUUCCUCGUGAAGGUUGUUCUCAUGAACUUCUGCCGUGACCACGCUGAUGGCAGCGCUGGGGGAGCAAGAGGCAAUGAUGGAGUCAGGAUCAAUGUUCAUGUCUAGCCCUGCGAGCGAGGGCCCGUCGGCCAGGCCCUCACAGCUCUCUAGCAGCUGGGUGUUGAUGUAGAUGAUGGAUUCCUUGUCCUGUGCGUCAGGCAAACUCUCAGAGAGCUUUUCCAGCUGCAGCCUCAACACUGAGAAGGUGGGUCGGUCCAAGGGAUCGGCACUCCAGCACGAGUACAUGAUGUCAUACCUGGUGACGACAGACACGUGAGUGUUACCUGGCACAGACCCAGAUCCCUCAGUGCCACCACCCCUUCCUCCUCACCUAGUCUUCAACUUCAUUCUAUUUUAAUCAGCAUUUGUUCCACCUUUUUAUGGAAAUGAAUGGGUUUUGGUGUGUGUGGGGAAAAAAUGGUAUUCAACUUUUUAAAUGUUUCGUGUGU